rnacentral:rRNA from 1 species
AACGAACGCUGGCGGCAGGCCUAACACAUGCAAGUCGAGCGGACCUUUCGGGGUCAGCGGCGGACGGGUGAGUAACGCGUGGGAAUAUGCCCUUCUCUACGGAAUAGUCCUGGGAAACUGGGGGUAAUACCGUAUACGCCCUUUGGGGGAAAGAUUUAUCGGGGAAGGAUUAGCCCGCGUUGGAUUAGGUAGUUGGUGGGGUAAUGGCCUACCAAGCCGACGAUCCAUAGCUGGUUUGAGAGGAUGAUCAGCCACACUGGGACUGAGACACGGCCCAGACUCCUACGGGAGGCAGCAGUGGGGAAUCUUAGACAAUGGGGGCAACCCUGAUCUAGCCAUGCCGCGUGAGGGAUGAAGGCCUUAGGGUUGUAAAGCUCUUUCAGCUGGGAAGAUAAUGACGGUACCAGCAGAAGAAGCCCCGGCUAACUCCGUGC